UACGGAGGGUGCAAGCGUUGUUCGGAAUCACUGGGCGUAAAGCGCGUGUAGGCGGUUACUUAAGUCUGAUGUGAAAGCCCGGGGCUCAACUCCGGAAGGGCAUUGGAAACUGGGUGACUUGAGUGCCGGAGAGGAGGGUGGAAUUCCUGGUGUAGCGGUGAAAUGCGUAGAUAUCAGGAGGAACACCGGUGGCGAAGGCGGCCCUCUGGACGGAUACUGACGCUGAGGCACGAAAGCGUGGGGAGCAAACAGG
rnacentral:rRNA from 1 species